UGCAUAGGAAUCUGCCCGAUAGUGGGGGAUAACCUGGGGAAACCCAGGCUAAUACCGCAUACGUCCUACGGGAGAAAGGGGGCUCCGGCUCCCGCUAUUGGAUGAGCCUAUGUCGGAUUAGCUAGUUGGUGAGGUAAUGGCUCACCAAGGCAACGAUCCGUAGCUGGUCUGAGAGGAUGAUCAGCCACAUCGGGACUGAGACACGGCCCGAACUCCUACGGGAGGCAGCAGUGGGGAAUAUUGGACAAUGGGCGAAAGCCUGAUCCAGCCAUGCCGCGUGUGUGAAGAAGGCCCUCGGGUUGUAAAGCACUUUCAGCGAGGAAGAACGCCUAGUGGUUAAUACCCAUUAGGAAAGACAUCACUCGCAGAAGAAGCACCGGCUAACUCCGUG
rnacentral:rRNA from 1 species